UUCUUGGGUUUUAACUGGAACUGGAU
rnacentral:piRNA from 1 species